rnacentral:rRNA from 1 species
AUGCAAGUAGAUCAUGAAAAGAAUGCUUUAGGUGAUAGUUAUAUUUUUGAAUUCGUUCAUGAUGCUACUGAAAAUUAUUAUGAGAGAGGAACAUGUGCUUUUACAUAUUGCAAUAAAAUCAAGUUUCCUCUCUAUGUGUUGACAUUUUUUAAGUUGCACAUGUUUUGCCUUCAUAUGCAAGUUGAUUCUUGUUCCCAUAAGUUGUUUUCUCACAAAAUCCCUAUGCAUAGGAAGUGGGCUAGGCUUAAAUGUGCUUGUCAUAUGCUUCAUGAUGCUCCCGUUAUGUUUCAAUUCUUAUCUUUUAUGUGA